rnacentral:rRNA from 1 species
AAUCAACGCUGGCGGCGUGCCUCAGACAUGCAAGUCGAACGAGAAAGUCCCCUUCGGGGGAGUGAGUAAAGUGGCGCACGGGUGAGUAACACGUAGGUAAUCUACCUUCGGGUGGGGAAUAACCCAGGGAAACUUGGGCUAACACCGCAUAAUGCAGCGGCACCACAUGGUGACAGUUGUUAAAGCGGGGGAUUUUAGGUACCUCGCGCCUGAAGAGGAGCCUGCGGCGGAUUAGCUAGUUGGGAGG